UACGUAGGGUGCAAGCGUUAAUCGGAAUUACUGGGCGUAAAGCGUGCGCAGGCGGUUAUGUAAGACAGGGGUGAAAUCCCCGGGCUUAACCUGGGAACUGCAUUUGUGACUGCAUAGCUAGAGUACGGUAGAGGGGGAUGGAAUUCCGCGUGUAGCAGUGAAAUGCGUAGAGAUGCGGAGGAACACCGAUGGCGAAGGCAGCCCCCUGGGCCAACACUGACGCUCAGGCACGAAAGCGUGGGGAGCAAACAGG
rnacentral:rRNA from 1 species